rnacentral:rRNA from 1 species
AGUGAACGCUGGCGGUAUGCCUAACACAUGCAAGUCGAACGGCAGCACAGUAAGAGCUUGCUCUUACGGGUGGCGAGUGGCGGACGGGUGAGGAAUACAUCGGAAUCUACUUUUUCGUGGGGGAUAACGUAGGGAAACUUACGCUAAUACCGCAUACGACCUACGGGUGAAAGCAGGGGAUCUUCGGACCUUGCGCGAUUGAAUGAGCCGAUGUCGGAUUAGCUAGUUGGCGGGGUAAAGGCCCACCAAGGCGACGAUCCGUAGCUGGUCUGAGAGGAUGAUCAGCCACACUGGAACUGAGACACGGUCCAGACUCCUAAGGGAGGCAGCAGUGGGGAAUAUUGGACAAUGGGCGCAAGCCUGAUCCAGCCAUACCGCGUGGGUGAAGAAGGCCUUCGGGUUGUAAAGCCCUUUUGUUGGGAAAGAAAAGCAGCAGGUUAAUACCCCGCUGUUCUGACGGUACCCAAAGAAUAAGCACCGGCUAACUUCGUG